GGAGGAUAGGCAAAUAUUGGUUUGUUGCGCUUGUCUGCUAAACAAGUCUACCAUUGAGUAGUAAGGGUUCAAUUCCUUUAUCCUCCG
rnacentral:tRNA from 1 species